rnacentral:misc_RNA from 1 species
AGCUGGAUCAUUUUCCGAUGAUUCAAAAACACCUCAAAAAAACAAAAACGCGCCGAGAGAGCCGCGCGCACGAGUUCAUUCUCGCGCACACUCUCUCUCUGGUGCACAAAAAACAAACACAAAAAAACAACCGCCGCUUGAAUUACAUUACCUUCUAAAAAAACGGUAUGUCGUUUGAAGCACGGCUUUCACAACGUGUCGCGAUGGAUGACUUGGCUUCCUAUUUCGUUGAAGAACGCAGCAAAGUGCGAUAAGUGGUAUCAAUUGCAGAAUCACUCAAUUACCGAAUCUUUGAACGCAAAUGGCGCAUGGGAGAAGCCUCCACUGGCCAUCCCCGUGCAUGCCGUAUCGCUCAGUGUCGAACAAAAACCCAACCUUACAGAAGAGUCUUGGCUUGUCGCGCGCUCUCCACCAACCAAUUCAUUUUCGUUUGUGCGUGUGUGGCGGCCGAGUGGUUAUCCCGAAUCAACCGUCAAACCGUCGAUUCAUGGGUAACGCAGUUCUUCAGUAACCUUUGUCCAGCUCUCCUUGUCUGCUCUCCCUCACGGGCGAGUUUUCAAGGGGACCGGGCAAAACAACAAGCGUAAAAACCUUGUCCAAAACUUCAAACUAUUUUUGUUACAGACCUGAGUGCGGCAGGAUCACCCGCUAAACUUAAGCAUAUUACUCAGCGGAGGAAAAGAAAACAACCGUGAUUCCCUCAGUCAGCGGCGAGCGAAGAGGGACCGAACUCGUUGCCGAAUCGGGCCUCAUAGGGUCUUGAGUUGUGGCAUAAACGCUGUUUUGUGGUUGGUGCGGGAUUGGCGAAAUUCAAUGUGCAAAGCAAACCCAUUGCUGAACACAACCCUUCGUGUGAGUAUUGAGCCAAAGAAGGUGACAGCCCAUUGAGCCAAAAACCCGAGCGCCUCAUUAAACAGUACCAAGCGAGUAGCGCUUCUUGGGAGUGAAGCGUCAAUCGGCAGGUAUGUGUCUGCCAAAGUUAAAUACAGAGUGGGAAGACCGAUAUCGAACAAGUAGCGUGAGCGAAAGUUUGAAAAGCACUUUGGAAAGAGAGUGACAUAGAACCUGAAGUCGUGACAAUGGCAAUGGAAGCAUCUCCAUUUGAUCGCCAGAACCAGCCCUGCAGCAUCAUCUUUCGCGGACCCUUGCGCCGCGGGAGCAACGAGUGCCGACCCGGGGCGCGGUGAUAUGAGCGGAUGUAUAGCAGGGUGCACUGCCUAGCAGCGAGCACUUGCUUCUCCGUGACCUCUAUACUGGCGCAAGGCGAUGGGAUGCCUUCACCCGUCUUGAAACACGGACCAAGGAGUCAAACAGACACGCAAGAGGGAAGAUAUUGUUAACAGUACUUCUCUCGUACUGAAAGGGUGGCAUCUGAUGCCAUGGUGUGCACACUUAAAUGCCCAACACCAACCGGCCCGUACGCGGGUUGAGUUUGAGUGUGCCUGUUUGGACCCGAAAGGUGGUGAACUAUGCCUGAACAAGAUGAAGCCCGGGGAAACCCAGGUGGAGGUCUGUAGCGAUGCUGACGUGCAAAUCGCUCGCAAGAUUUGGGUAUCGGAGCGAAAGACUCAUCGAACCACCUAGUAGCUGGUUCACGU